rnacentral:rRNA from 1 species
GACGAACGCUGGCGGCGUGCUUAACACAUGCAAGUCGAACGGAAAGGCCCUGCUUUUGUGGGGUGCUCGAGUGGCGAACGGGUGAGUAACACGUGAGUAACCUGCCCUUGACUUUGGGAUAACUUCAGGAAACUGGGGCUAAUACCGGAUAGGAGCUCCUGCCGCAUGGUGGGGGUUGGAAAGUUUCGGCGGUUGGGGAUGGACUCGCGGCUUAUCAGCUUGUUGGUGGGGUAGUGGCUUACCAAGGCUUUGACGGGUAGCCGGCCUGAGAGGGUGACCGGCCACAUUGGGACUGAGAUACGGCCCAGACUCCUACGGGAGGCAGCAGUGGGGAAUAUUGCACAAUGGGCGGAAGCCCGAUGCAGCAACGCCGCGUGCGGGAUGACGGCCUUCGGGUUGUAAACCGCUUUCGCCUGUGACGAAGCGUGAGUGACGGUAAUGGGUAAAGAAGCACCGGCUAACUACGUG